CAUGAAAGGUCUCUGAGGAGCAACUGCCACAACUGACUUGUGGUGGAGUCUUGUGGUCGGGAACAGACGCGCAAGUCCCUGAGGGCAUGCUUGAGAGAUGAGUUGUGGAGCAGGUUUGCAAGGCAAGACUCUGCUAUCCAGGAAACAGCCCUCUUGCUAUUUAUUAAGUAAUAGUGAACUAGCAUGAUUGAUUAUAUGACAAUGGCAGUAGAAGCAGGGUCCAGGAGAAACAAAAGAAACUGCAGUAAAUAAAUUCUGAGAAAGACCACUGGGAGGAGUGCUUGCUACAACUGUGAAACAAAAGACGGUUCUUCCUUUUUGCUGAUUGAAACUGUUGAAACAUUCUAUCACUAUUGGCUGUUAGUUGUUCCAGUCUUGCAAGCAAAUGUGUUCCUGCCAAAUGUUCCCGCAGUUUGGAAACUUACCUGCAUACCUACCUCAAUUCACUCAGAUGACUUGGAUUCUUCAUGUUGUGAAUGUACUGACUUUCCCCAUCUCUUAAGAAAGGAUGGUCUUUACAUGAAUUUCAGCUGAGCAUUUAUUAAGAAAAAUUAAGUUUAUAAAUAUAAGUUCUCACAGAA